CAAAAAAUCUUUAAAAUCUUAACUUUUACGCUAAUAUAUCAAGAUAAAUGUAUUAAACGUGGAGAUAUGAUGUAAGCACGGAACAAGAGCUUGUUCAAGCCAUAAGAGAUGGAAGUUUAGAAGGAGUCAAAAAUAUAAGUAGCUAUUGCUCAGAAGAGCAGUUUACACCAAUGUGAAAGGUCUAUUUAUUGAUGGUAAUUGAUAUCGUUUUAUAUAUGGUAGUAAAAGUUACAUUGAUAAUUUUCUGUGAGCGAUCAGCUAAAAGCUAUUAAAGAGCUACCUUCUCCAUUUUCAGGCGC